rnacentral:lncRNA from 1 species
GGAUAUAAUCCCAUCUCGAUAUCGCAAGUUGAAGUAGAAAACUCUUAUGAGAUCAGGAUAGAUGCAACCAUUUUGCUCUACUAGAUGUGUGAGUCCUUGACCAGCAAAAAGUCAAGGCGAAUAUACUUUACCUCCAUGAUUCUCCUUUCUUGCCAAAAAUUCACAUAGUCCGCAUGUUUUCCUUGAUCUGAUAUCCACCCAUCAAUGGUGGCAGGACGUGGUUGAAAGGAAGAGGAUGCUCCAGUAGCUCUGCGACGAUGCCUUCUUGAAUCAACCAUGAAGGAAGUUUAAGAAAAUGAAAUUUUGAGAAGGUGAAGAGAAAUGGAGAGAUUUUAGCUCUAGAUUUGAUUUCAGCAGUAUUUGGGUGUAAAGAAG